CCUUCUACGCUCUACUCGGCAUCAAAAUUCAGAUUGUAACUCUGCUCGAUCUCGAUUUUAUCUUUAUCGAAAACAUGGGUUUGAAGGAAGAAUUUGAGGAGUAUGCUGAGAAAGCUAAGACCUUGCCUGAGAGCACUUCAAAUGAAAACAGGCUCAUUCUAUAUGGACUCUACAAGCAAGCUACAGUUGGAAAUGUCAACACGAGUCGUCCCGGUAUGUUUAACAUGAGGGACAGGGCGAAGUGGGAUGCCUGGAAGGCCGUUGAAGGAAAAACUAAGGAGCAAGCAAUGAGUGAUUACAUCACCAAGGUGAAGCAGUUACUGGAAUAAGCUGCAGCCUCGUGCUGAUUACAAGCUUUCAUCGUCUAUGAGUUGCUCGUAAUAGGCUACCCAUGAUCUAUCACAAUAAAAGAGUAGUAAAGGUGGGGAUGGGAAAGAACAUGAAGAGGAUAAAUAAAGAUGGAAGAAGGAAGGCUGAACAACAACAGUUUUUGCAGUUACUAAUUUUAUUGCUUUUAAUUAGUAGUAGUAUUAGUUAAUCAAUGAAUGAUGUUAGGCCCUAUAUAAACCCUUGAGGUUUGGAAUGUUCAUUUAGUCCAAGGGGACUAACAAUCCUACUCAUCGCCUUUUCAUCUCUAA